GUGCCCCAAUCUUUCCCAGUCCUUUCCCCUCAGAUGGAGACUUCAUUAUGUUAAUGAACGAGAUAAGAAGAAAAUGGCGCUCAUUGUGGCCUUGUUGAGUUAUGUUGUGUUUGUUUAACAUCUCUGAUGCUCUGUUACUAGAAUUACAAGGACCUGAUUUUUUUGUUUCUUUGUUUUUUUUAAAAAAAACAAAAACAGAGGCCAGAACUAUUGUUUGAAAUUAGUAACAAUGCUGCAUCUAGAUUGGAGUGCUGCCCAGCCAUAGAAGCAGAGCUGAACAGUAUCACAUAGCGAUUCAUGGUCACUCGCAACCUGAGUUCACCACAGCGGGAAUAGCUGUGAGAAACACAAGCAAAACAACAAAAUUAAUAAUCUGACGGAGGGGAAUUCUAGAAUUAUAUGCUAAAUGCAUAUUUUAUGAUUUGCUGUAUUAACUGAUGAUAAAACUAAUGGCAGAAAACAAAUUGAACAAUUUCUAUGUAAUGUACAGAUACUAGCAUUGCGCAUAUAGUCUGCUUUCUGUUCCUCCAGAAUUUGAGUCCUGUUAAUGUAGUGGCAAAGAAGAAAGUUUCUUUUUCUUUUGUGUUAGUCUUGCAAGUUUGUCUACCAGUAAAAGAGCAAAGUUUCCUUCCUUUCUUGUUUUCUUUUUAUUUUUUCUUUUGUUCCCUCUUCCCUCCCACCUUUUUUUUUCUUUAAAAAUUCACCUGGCAAAAAAAUAAUAAUAAUAAAUAAAUGAAGCUAUCACUUUAUAAGAAUCAUUUUCUAGUAAUGCAAACAAAUUAUUUUUUAACAAAAAAAUAAAAUAAAAUAAAUAAAAUUAGACUUCCUUCCCUCGCUAUAUAUCUAUCUUUAUCCAGCCCGAGUAUUUCCAACGUCAUUUUGCAAAUUAGAACAGGACAAAUUUUAUGUUUCCGGGGCACAUAUGUUGUAUUGCAAAGCAUAUUUGGCAAGCAGUUCAUCACCAAGGCAGUAGCUAUGAUUCUAGAAGCUAAGAGGUGUCUAUAGAGCUAGACGGGCUUCUGCAUGUGAAAUGCUGUAUUCCAUAGGAGUUAAAAGUGCUGACUGAGCAGUCUGACCCCCACGUGGGCACCUGCACUACCAGUUGUUAGAGGAAAUUCACUCCCUCCUAGUGAGAGUUGAAAGGUCAAAUUAUUUUGAAGACAUUUUUUUUUUUUAAAGUUUUCUGUUAACAGGAAAAUUUAUUUAUUUGACAGGAUUUUAAGUAAUGUAGGAAUACAAAUGGUAAAUUAGCAGCACAUAUAAUUUUUUUUAAAUUUAUGAUCCAUUUUGUAUGGUCUCAAGUUGGAUGACCUCAUUACUAAUAUUUGUUGUAAAAGUGAAACUUGUUUGCCGACCAAUAAACAACUGAUUGAGAUUUAGAAGAGAUUGCUUUGACGUAUGUACUGUAUUAUCAAGUCCUCUUUUGACUUUUCUUGCCUUUCCUUUUCUCUGAUUUUCAGAAUCUAAACUCUCUUUAACCUUUGUGACCCAAGUGAGCAACACACACACACACACACACACACACACACACACACACACACACACACACAAACACACACACUAUAUCUGACUUGAAUAUCCAAACACAGCAUGGUACAGGUUUUUGCAGACAAACUGGACCAGGAAAAUGGGAUGGGCUGAAGCCAGGUACAUAGCUCCCAGUCAAGUGGAAUAACAAAGGUCCUGUGUACUUUCUUCAAACCCAUCUCUCCUCACUAGGCUUUUGACUAAAGACAGUUAUGCAGUGGUUUAAAUAUCACAUGAGAUGCAAUCAUCUCCCUGUCCCCUUUUUGUGGAGAAAUUUGUAAAUUUAAAUUUCCUCAGUUGGCUAAGAAAUGCAAUAGUAAUAGGAAAGAGGUUAUUCAUUGCACAAGAAGAGUUUAAGACCUUUAACACCAACACAGAGCGUUGGUUUCUUUAUGGCAACCUCAAACAAAAUUUGUUGUGUUGAUUCUUGUCCUCCAUCCCUCUGACUCCCCUUCUGUGGCCUCUGACACCUCACCCUGUCCCUGCUGUACCCUUCCCACCUUCAUGCCACAUAUGUAAGACUGUUUUACAUUAUUUUCAUCUUCUUCAAUGUUUGGGGGGGGGGGAACGGACAAAAAUAAUUCCUUCAAAAGAACUUUCUAGAUCAUGCUGUUCCUAUACGACCAGUAUCGAAGGAACGAGUAUUUUCAAGGAGCCCCAUGUAGAAUAAAGCUCAAAUGAACUUUC
rnacentral:lncRNA from 1 species